AGGUUUAUCUGAGAAAACCUCCAGUUUCUCUCCGUCUCCGCCCUCUUUCAGCCACACGCUGUUUCAUUUCCUCAUUCAUUCAGUCAGUAAGCGAGCGAGUUUUGGUGUAGAACAGCUUUUAUUAACGAUCCAGUGGAUAAAGGAGCAGCAUUACUGCACAGAUCAUUAAAUAUUCGUCGGUAGAUUGUUAUCAGACCGAGCAUAAAUGUUCUCACAUUUCUGGACAAUUAUCGGUUUGAGCGGUACCGUUUCGUAAUCGUUUCAAGUCCAUAAUCUACAUAAACAACCUUAUCCGUCCUUACAUUUACAUUACCAACCAGUCAUGCUCUCACAUCCAGCAGAUAUUGUGUGUUGCGCUGCGGUUCUUUGCAAAUGGAAGUUUUUAUAUCAUGUCAGAGAUGCAGAGUAAGACAACUGUAUGGAGGACAGUCAGAAAAGUUUUCCUGAUCCUGAAACGACUUUUACUCAUUGUGCAUGGGAUUGCAGGUGAAUGAUGUAGAGAUCUGUUACAUUCAUUUUAAAUCUUAUUCUGUUAAUGACAUUGUGCUGCAGCCUCAGACUGGGAUCAGUCAUUUUAAUUUCUUUUAGGAUUUCCCAGUGUGAUUGGCUGCAUAGAUGCACACACAUCCCCAUCACAGCUCCCUCACAUCAUGAACAGGAAGUCCAUUCACAGCAUAAAUGUGCAGGUAGGCUACAGGUAGACUGACUACUGUUUCUAAAUGUUAAAGACUGCAUCAUAGUUCAACAUCUGUCAUUCUCUGCACUGUCCAGAUCAUAUGUGAUGCUGCAUACAUCAUUUCUAAUGUGGAGGCCACGUGGUCUGGGUCUGUUCAUGACUCCAGGAUUUAUGGAGAGUCUAACCUGAGCAACAGACUGCAGCGUGGAGAGUUUGAUGGCCUUCUGCUGGGUGACAGGGGUUACCAUGACAACCCAGGCUGAUGACCUCAUACCCUGACCCUGAACCAGGCCCCCAACAGAACUUCAACCGAGCUCACUGCAGGACCAGAGCCCGGGUGGAGAUGACCAUAGGCCUGCUGAAAGCCCGUUUCCAGAGCCUACGUCUCCUCAGGGUGACCCCUGAGAGGGCCUGUGAUAUUACUGUGGCAUGUGUUGUUCUUCAUAAUAUUACCACUAUUAGAGGAGAGCAACACCCUGCCCUACAAACUGAAGACCCAGAUGAUGAGCCCAUCCACCUGCAGCUAUCCAGGACAGCAGAGCAGUCAGAGACACCGUAUGCAAUAAUCACUUUAGAGUUUAAGUCUCCAUCAUCACCACCACAGCAAAUAAAGACAUGAUACACAUUU